AUGACGAAACAAAUAACGAUAAAAAAAAUAUUGAUAAAAAAAAAUAAUGAUAAACAAAAUAUUGAUAAAAAAAAUAAUGAUAAACAAAAUAUUGAUAAAAAAAAUAAUGAUAAACAAAAUAUUGAUAAUAACAAUAUUGAUAAUAAAUGCUUAAACUGUUCAUCAUCUGCAACCAUUUCUAUAUUUGAAAAAAUACAUGAAAUACAAAACGAAAUAGAAGAUAUGGAUAAGCAUAUUGUUAAUAUAUUAAAUAAAAUAGAACAUAAAAAUACUAUAAGAUUAUAUUAUAAAAAAUUUUAUGAAAAUCCAUGUAAAUUUAUUGAUCAUGUAAUGAAUAGUAAAUUUUCAGUAAAUUCAGAAAAUAUUAGUGACAAUAGUUAUAUAUAUGAUCAUGCAGUUAAUGUUAACGAUGAUCAAUAUUAUAAACUUCCAUGGGUUCAUAAAGGUAUUUCCACAUACUUGUCAUUACAAAAUCAGUCUUUUGACGAUGUUCUUAAAUCUUCUUUAAAUAUUAUAAAUUAUGGAAAUAAAGGGAAUAUAAAUAGUACUAUAAAUGAAAAUAUAAACCCAAACCUAAACCAAUAUUCAAACUUAAACCAAUAUUCAAACUUAAACCAAUAUUCAAACCCAAACCAAUAUUCAAACUUAAACCAAUAUUCAAACUUAAACCAAUAUUCAAACUUAAACCAAUAUUCAAACUUAAAUGCAAAUAUAAAAACAGACACAAACAAAAACACAAAUACAGACACAAUUAUAGAAACAAACAUAAACAAAAACAAAAACAAAAGCACAAACAAAAACAAAAACACAAACAAAAAUAAAAACACAAAUAUAAAUACAAAUACAAACACAAAUACAAAGACAAGUACAAACACAAAAACAAAUAUAAAUGCAAAUACAAAUGCAAAUACAAAUGCAAAUACAAAUGCAAAUACAAACAUGAAAAAAGUUAAAGACAAAAACAGAAAAAAGCAAAAAGUAAAAACUUUAAAUGAAAAACAUUUAGAAAAGAUAUAUAAUCCAUAUAAUUUAACUAAUCAACAAUUUAAUCAUAACUUGAUGAAUCAACAAGGUAUAAACAAUAGUCAUAAUUAUAAUUUUAACAAUUUUAAUAAUAAUAAUAGUGGUGGUAGUAAUAAUAAUAAUAAUGGUGGUGGUAGUAAUAAUAAUAAUAAUAAUGGUGGUGGUGGUGGUGGUGAUAGUAAUAAUGGUGGUGGUAAUAAUAAUAAUGGUGCAUAUUAUUAUCCUACAAAUCCAAAUAUGUAUUAUAAUAGUAUGCCUGUAAGGUUUAAUAAUUUUAUGCAAAGUUAUGUUGAUACUGGUAGUGCGUCAGUUAAUGUACCGACAAAUGUACUGACUAAUUUACCUUUUAAUGCAUCGUUUCCUUCCCCUAUCAAUGUACCUGUUAGUACAACUACUAACAAUAUAAGUUAUAAAAAUAAUGAUUUAUCAAAUAGUUAUAAUAUUAAUACUAACGGUUGCAUAACAAAUAACAAUUUGUCAACAAAUUUUAAUCCUGAAAAUAUAUAUAUUAAUAACUUGGAACCAUGUGAUCUCAAUUUAUACAAUAAUAAUCAACAAAUGGUACCAGUACCAUAUAAUCCACAAUAUAUGAUGAACAUGUUUCCUUUUAAUGAAAUGAACCCACAAAAUAAUUCGAAUCCAAUGACCAAUGAAAGUGCACCUAUGCCUAUACCUAUACAUAUGAAUGAAUAUUCCAAUGACAACAAUUUUAACUCUGUUAAUAAUUAUGUUUCACCAAAAAUGGAUGAUAGUAAAAUAAUUCAACAGGGAAAUGCAUAA
ensembl:lncRNA